AUUGCUUUAUUUACAGUUCAAAGCUGGUAUAUUACAGAAAGACAUCUUGCCUCUGCAGGAGCAGAAAAUGCAUCCUCUCUCCUCUCUCAGCUCGGAGAGAAUCACACAGAGUGAAAAACAGGAAACCAGUGUACGUCACAUCCAGUCUCCCUUUCCCGUGAGAAACUCCAACAGUACAGACUGUGGAAUGUAAAACAAUGUCUUGUGACUGCAGUUGCUGCUCAGUGAGGGAAAUCAGAAACCAACAUCCUCCCCUUUCUGUGAACAUCACUGGGCAGCGUGUUCGUACAAUAUCAGUACAAACCCAACUUCUGCACAUAGGUACAGUGUUGAUCCCUUGAUACAAUCUUGGACAAUACAUCAGCAGGAAUUUCAUUACCUGGCAUAUAGGACACCGUUACGAGUCCCUUCUGAAUACAUUCCCUAGCAUGCUGCAACUUUAAUUGCAAGUGCUUUGUGCUUUGCUUACAACCUUCAGACUUCAGCAAAGCCAAACAUGCUUUGUUGUCCUGGUAAACCUGGAUUGGACAUUUGACAGGAAUUUUCAUAUCUUUGCACAAUUGUACUAACCAUUCACAAUCCUUAAGUGAAUAAGACAGUGCAUUCAGUUCAGCUUCACAAGUACUUAAGCUAACUGUUGUUUGCUUCUUGCAUGACCAAUCAAAAAGACCCUGAUUGUACAUAUAGCAAACUCCAGACGUACUUUUCCUGUCUGUAGUGUCACUUCCAAAACUUGCAUCUGCAAAUAUCUCAAGACCACCAGACUUCUGAUUGUUAAAUCUCAGUCUGUAAUGCAUAGUGCCUUUCAAAUACCGCGCUAUGCGUUUCAGAGCUUUCCAAUCCUUGACACUAGGAUUGUUGACUUGUCUGCUUAGCAAAUUACAGCUAACAGCAAUGUCUGGUCUUGAACAUCUGGCAAUGAAGUUUAGCUUGCCUAGCACACUCCUGUACAGUGUAGUGUCAGAAAAUGCUUCUUCAGUGUCAUCUACCUGAUAACCUGUUGUCAUCGGUGUGUCUACAGGGUUAGCAUCCAUCAGAUUUAGUUUGCUUAACACAUCAGCAAUUUUCCGUGACUGGUGUACUAGAAUGUUACCAUCUUGAUCUCUCUCUAUUUCCAGAGAUAGGUAGUUGUUUACCUCACCAAGAUCUUUCAUGUCAAAGUGCUCUUUCAGUUGAGCUAGGGCGCUAUUGUACAUUGCGACAUCUUUCCAAAAGAAUAAUAAAUCAUCAACAUAAAACAAACAGUACAGUUUCUUUUGCCCCUCCUCUUUGACAAAUACACAUGGAUCAGCUUUCCCUUGCUGAAAACCUAGAGAAAACAAUACUUCAGUGAGUUUUGUGUGCCAACACCGUGCACUUUGUUUGAGACCAUAAAGGGAUUUCUUCAGAGCACAAACAAAUCCCUGUUUUACCUGUACGCCAUCAGGUGGAAGCAUAUAAAGUGAUUCAUCUAGAGAUCCGUACAGAAAAGCUGUAUUAAUAUCAUGGUGACUAAUGUGUAGAUUUUCCUCUGCAGCUAGCUUGAGCAUAAGCCUAAUGCUUUCAUAUCUCACUGUGGGUGAAUAGGUCUCGUGAUAGUCUUCACCUGGUACCUGUGCAAAACCUCUGGCUACCAAUCUGGCUUUGUGUCUGACUAUCUUGCCAUUUUGAUCUGUCUUCGCUUUGAAGACCCAUUUGCUUCCAAGCAGUUUCAUUCCUGGAACUACUGGAACUAGCUCCCAUGUUUUGUUCCUUUCUAAGGAAUCAAGCUCAGCCUUCAUGGCAUUUAACCAUGGCUCAGCUUCCUUUGAAUCCAAACCCUGGAUUUCUUGGAAACUUGAAGGUUCAAAUACCUUCUUGGAGCUUUUAACAGCUGUUACUGCUAUCUUAGCAAACUCAUCAGCAAAUCUCUUUGGAGGUUUGCCUUUUGUGGCUCUCUGUGACCUACGAAUUAGCCUUAAGUCUUCAACACUCUCCUCUUCCUUCUUAGGAGAAAAACGACCUAUUGUGAACAAUGGUUCCUCCAAUUCUUGAUCAGAGCUUUCAGAGGGUCGCAUAGAGGCUUUCGCACUCUUGAAAUCCUCUGAAUCACCCGAUUCAGUUUCAGAUUCAGACUCAGAACCUUCAUCAGUGGGUGUGGGUUGUUGUGGUUGCUUUUGACUAUCCUCAGUCUCAUCACCGUCAUCAGGAUAACAUUGGAAAAUUCCCACAUUCUCCCCCACUUUGCAUUGUACUCAACACUUCUCGUGAGCUUAAUUGUCUUAGAGUCAGUCAUCAUUAUUCUGUAAGACCCUUUCUGAUAACCUAGAAAGAUACCAUGCAAUCCACGCUUGUCUAACUUGGAGUUUUGUGGUGAGCAAACCCACAUGUCAGAACCAAAAAUCUUCAUGUGUUUGAUGUAUGGCUUCUUGCCAAACAUCUUCUCAUAGGGGGUACAACCAAUCGCUGAAGAUAGCCUGCGAUUGUAACUGUAAACAAAACACGAGAGAGAUUCGGCCCAAUAACUCUCUGGAAGAUUGGCAUCAUGCAGCAAGGUUUUUAAUCCUUGAAGCAAUGUCUGAUUUGCCCGUUCCGCAAGUCCAUUCUGCCAUGGCGAGCGAGGACUAGACAAAUCGUGUUGAAUUCCUUUCUCAGUCAGAAAAGCUUCAAACUGCUGAGAAGUGAAUUCCCCCCCGCGAUCACUGAAAAGAGUCUUUAUCUUCUUACCAUGCACAUUUUCCAACCAAGCACAGAAUUCCUUGAACCUAGGAAAAGCCUCCGAUUUCUGCUUGAGAUUGUACACAAAAAUAUAUCUAGAAAAUGCAUCAAUGAGAACCAUGAAGUAUCUAUUUCCACCCAAAGAGGGCGAUAGUGGUCCAACCAAAUCAGCAUGAACAACCUGGUAUGGUUCUGUAGCUUUCCUACUAGACACCUUACCUUUCGCAGCCAUUUUCACCUUGUUUGCUGCGCAUGCUUUGCACUUCAUGUGGUACCUGCAGGGUUUAAUAGUCAUACCUUCAACCAAGGCAGGCAUUUUAGAUACUGCCUCAAAAUGCAAAUGAGCAAAUUUUCGAUGAAAAUCGUGAAUACAUUCUGCAUGCAAACUUUUGUUAGAACCUGCAAUGCAACAAGUGUCAUCCUGCACCACAUCAUCAUAAUACAAAACAAACAAAUGAUCAACAUAUUCUGCAUGCAAUACAUAAUCAUUUUUCUUUGUGAUGAUGCACUUCUUGUUCUUGAAGGAAACGUCAAUGUUCCGCUCAUUCAGCUGUCCAACGCUGAGCAGAUUAUGUUUGGCGUCUGGCACGUAAAGCACAUUCUGUAUCGAUAAGUCCAAACUGUGAAGAACAACAGUUCCGUAGCCUUUACUGGGAAUAGUGUGGUCAUCCGCCUGGUGAAUCGCACCUUCCUGCGGUGUAAAAGACACAAACAGUUUCUUAUCGUUGCACAUGUGGUGGGUGGCCGCUGAAUCAACAACGAAGAAAGAUCUAGACGUCUUCUGGACCUCUGCAACCUUUGGAGUGAAGCGUGAAACCAUAGCCUUGUGCUGCGUUGUCCUAGACACCGGACCUUUGCCUUUGCCUCGGCCUUUUCCGCUGCGCUGCUCUGUCUUGGCCCUGGGAUGUCUGCAUUCCCUCUUCAUAUGGCCUAGACGUCCACACGAGUAGCAUUUCACUGCCUCCAAAGCUUUGGCGCCAUCUGGUGGUUCCACUGCACUAUGGGAUGACGUCUGUGAAGACUCCCCCUUGCCCAUGCAGCUAGCACCCCGGCGAUCUGCUUCAUUUAGAAUCACGGCAGUAACAAAGUCCACUGUCAGCUGAGCAGUUGGUUGCACAGCAAUCUGGGUUGCAACAGACUCCCAACCUGAACCCAAAGAUUGUAGUAUCAUGAAAGAAUACACAGCCUCUGGAAAGUUGAGUCCUCUCUGUUGCAGCUCAUGUCUCAGAUUUUGCAUCUCCAUCAGAUGUAAACGCACAUCUCCACCUUCAGCAAGAGCCAUAUUAUGCAGCUUGUUAAAAUAAAACAUAGUGGAUCCAGCUUCUGUCCUUAAGUGAGCCUCUCUCAGAGCGUCCCAAAUUUCUCUGGCUGAGGUCUUAUCACGCAAUAGACAGAGCUCUUCUGGGGAUACUAUCAAUGUAAGAGUUCCCCUUGCUUUGGAAUCCUUAGCUUCCCAUGCAUCUGUAACUGGAACUGGGGGGGUUGCUGUAAUCACCUCAAACAAACCCUCUUUCCGCAGAAUUGCCUCUGCAUACUGAACCCAGUCGCUGUAAUUAUUCUUGUUGAGCUUAGGAAUCCCACAAGCAUCCUGAAGGGCCAUCAUGACUCUGGCAUUAGCCUUCAGCGUCAUUAUAUGCUGCUUUAAAUCUUGCUGCGUCACUGCUGCAGCUGCCUCAUUACAAAGGCACACUUAAAAGUUACUUUCGAUUUCCCCAGCAUAGUGACUUGUGCCUGGGAGCCUUUGCCUAUUCCCGGCAAAACCGGCUUUAAAAGUUCAAAGUCCAGCCAUAAAGCCAUUAUCUUGAAGCUGGCAGGCUGCCCGGAGCAGUAGCACAUACCUCAUCAAUCACUUCUACGCGCAGAGCAGAUUCCUUUCCGAUCCGUCCCUCUGCAUUCCGAUCCUUUGCCGGCACUCCGAUUCGACCUCUGGAGUCCAUAACCACGUGUUGAUUUAAAGCAGAGUCUGGUUGCCAGCGGAAGGAUGAGGAAAAUGUGCUGCAUACUCUUUAUUGCUUUAUUUACAGUUCAAAGCUGGUAUAUUACAGAAAAACAUCUUGUCUCUGCCGGAGCAGAAAAUGCAUCCUCUCUCCUCUCUCAGCUCGGAGAGAAUCACACAGAGUGAAAAACAGGAAACCAGUGUACGUCACAUCCAGUCUCCCUUUCCCGUGAGAAACUCCAACAGUACAGACUGUGGAAUGUAAAACAAUGUCUUGUGACUGCAGUUGCUGCUCAGUGAGGGAAAUCAGAAACCAACA
rnacentral:lncRNA from 1 species